GGCCAUAGCUCAGUGGCAGAGCAUCUGCUUUGUAUGCAGAAGAUCCCUGGUUCAAUUGUUGGCGUCUCCAGGUGGGGCUG